rnacentral:tRNA from 1 species
AGAAAAAUGGGACUCGCACCCACACCUAAAGACUCAAAACCUUUAGCACUUCAUUAUGCUAUUUCCUAG